CUGAUAGAGUACCGGGGAAAAGCAUUUAUGGAUUUGGGGCUUGUAGCGGGGUGGUCACCCGCUCCUGCCCUGAAGGGCUUGAAAUCAGCCCCGGGGACAGGGCUGAGGCUGCAUGAGGGCUGCUGCUAGGGAGAGAAGCAAGCCUUGGCUGAUUGGGGAAACAGCCACAGCUGUGGCCAUGCCCCAAUCAGACCAUAGCUGGCCCUAUAACGGCCAGUGAAGCCAGGUGCUGAGAGGAUUCUCCCUCUAGCUCUUGAGGGAGAAGGGCCUGGCUGCCUGGGAGCUGAGCUGGUGGGGGAAAGGCUAAAGGAGCUGGGGUGCUUCAGCUGGCAGAACCCCUAGGCUGCAGGCCUUGAUAAAGGCCAAAACAGAAGAAAGAGAGCCAGCUCUCCAUGCAUCACCGACUGGGAACAUCUGUUGCAGCAGUUUCUGUGGCUGCUGAAUUAUAAACCAAGAUGGCUGGACACGGACAGAGAGCUUCACUGCUGAAUCAUGAACCGGCAAUGCUAUUCUUUGUCAUCAUAAUGCCUGAUCUAGUUUGAAACUCAAUAUCCUGCAGCAGUGAGUUCACAGAUUAAUUAUGCAUUCUGUCUAUCCGCUUUAUAUUACCUGGCUGUGCUUUGAUUUCGGGUCCGAUCUGCAGUAUCCGGCUGGGUAGGAGAAAAUGAAACACAGCGUGGCUGAGAAAGGAAGGGAUAAUAAAUACAUGCUAUGGAAAUACCUUGAUAA